GUAGGUAUUAUGGAGGUCAAUGUUUCCACCUCUGUUUCAAACACGACGCGAUAAAAUUGAAGACUUAUUCGGGGCACGUGUCAAAUGUAUUGGUAAUUCAUAGGCGAUGCUGAAAGUGGUUUCAUCCUCAUUUCUACGGUCUCUGUGCGCUAAUAUUUAAUGGUUUUCAUCGUGCAGCAACAUGGUAAACCGUUGUUGUGUCAAGACAUGCAAGCAACACUUUGAUUACAAGCCCCAACAUAAGCAGGGUGCAAAAUGGAAACUACACAGAACCUUGGUACGUCACCUGCGACGGCGACGUCACCUGCGAGUUCCGCGGAACCCCUGACGCCGUCACCAGCUGGACCAUCCGCGGCACUGGACCAUCCGGCGACGGCCGUGACGCCGUCACCAGCUGGACCAUCCGUGGCACUGGACCAUCCAGCGAAGGCCGUGACGCCGUCACCAGCUGGACCAUCCGCGGCACUGGACCAUCCAGCGACGGCCGUGACGCUGUCACCAGCUGGACCAUCCGCGGCCCUGGACCAUCCAGCGACGGCCGUGACGCCGUCACCAGCUGGACCAUCCGCGGCCCUGGACCAUCCAGCGACGGCCGUGACGCCGUCACCAGCUGGACCAUCCGCGGCCCUGGACCAUCCAGCGACGGCCGUGACGCCGUCACCAGCUGGACCAUCCGCGGCACUGGACCAUCCAGCGACGGCCGUGGCGUCGACUCUGCCAGUGCCGGAGAGGUCGGCGACGUCACCUGCGCCGCUGGUGUCAACACCGCAUGGACAUCAGCUGCGAGCUGGUAAACGGCGGUGGAGUGGAAGCAGAGCGCGCAAGCCACCAGCCAGCUGACUCAGAGCCCAGGGGGCGUUCGCCACCAACAUCCGCACGGCGCAGCUGCAGAGGUGAUUUCUGCCAUGGAGCAGCAUCCGCGGCUCCAUGACAUCAUCCUUCCAUCAUUCUCCAUCAUCAUUUCCGGAGCUCACCCGACGGCGGAGCUGGCGACGCCCGCGCCCCGCCUGGCCGUCCAGCCUGCGCGCUCCGCCGCGCGCCGCGGGCCCGGCUCGCCGAGACGUCCGGCUUAGGUCGGCGUUUGAGGCGCGGCGGGGGGCAACGUCUCUGUGCCCUGCACCGGGUCCCCGCCGCCUGCGGUCUCUUCUGCUGCCGCCACUGAGGGGAACGGCUCUUCUUUGAAGACAUCAUCGGUCGACGGUGAUGCUGGCGGGCCGGUGGCGGCGUGCCCCGUCGGCAGCGCGCCUGGGGAGGACGCUGGUGACGACGAAUCUUCAUCGCCGUCGGCACCGGUCGCGAGCGAGUCGCUGUUUAGUUGGCCUGCUACUGUGCCAAAAAGUGCGACUGUGGCCAGACUGGUAUACGAUUUGUCAGUGCUUACGCCCCUCUUGCCGUGCCGGCCGUGCUCUUUGCCGUCUAUUGGGGAUGCGUUAGAGUUAUCGUUUUGGGGUUUAUACCGGUAUCAAGAUUGAUUUAAAAGAUGGAUUUCAUCACAUUUCUCGCGCACGUUCCACACGUCCUUUUGGUGUUUUGUAUGAUGGUAAAACGUGCUUAUACCUUUUCUCUGUUACCAAUGGGCCCUAUUAGGUACUGCAUCUCCUGCAUUAUUAGGUAGAGAUGCAGUACCAUUAUUAGGUACUGCAUUAUUAGGUACUGAAGGAGAUGCAGUUAGGUACUGCAUCUCCUUCGGAGAUGCAGUACAUAACAGAUGCUUUCAGUGAACUUGUAGAGUCGAGAUUUAACGUCAGGUGUUUGGCGUAUUUAGAUGAUUUUCUUUUCAUGUCCAAGGACGCUGAAUGGUAUCGCUGCGUUUCUGACUAGUGUUGGGUUGUGUAUUAAUUUCAAUAAAUUAGUUCUCGUUCCGUU
rnacentral:lncRNA from 1 species